GCAAACUUGGUCAUUUAGAGGAAGUAAAAGUCGUAACAAGGUUUCCGUAGGUGAACCUGCGGAAGGAUCAUUUGUGAGCGAGGGGGGCUUGCCUCCCAAGCGUAUCCAAACACUGUGAACCUAAUGGCCUCUUUGGCCCUUACAAACUCUGUGUAAUGAACGUUAUACGAUAACAAAUAAAAACUUUCAACAACGGAUCUCUUGGCUCUCGCAUCGAUGAAGAACGCAGC
rnacentral:misc_RNA from 1 species